CGUUACCGUCCGUCCCGUCCCGUCCGCCGACCGUACUACGUAAGGUACGGUAGUAGUGGUAGGUUCGUACGUCCGGCGACGAGACGACGCCGGCGGCCGUGCCUAAGACAUGCAAGUCGAGCGGGGAGACUUCGGUCUCCCCGCGGCGGACGGGUGAGUAACGCGUGGGCAACCCUGCCCUUCAGCCCGGGAUAACUGCCUGAAAGGGCGGCUAAUACCGGAUGCGGUGAAACGGACGCAUGUUGGUUUCACGAAAAUUACGGUGCUGAAGGAUGGGCCCGCGUCCCAUUAGCUGGUUGGUGAGGUAGCGGCCCACCAAGGCGACGAUGGGUAGCCGGCCUGAGAGGGUGGACGGCCACACUGGGACUGAGACACGGACCAGACUCCUACGGGAGGCAGCAGUGAGGAAUAUUGGUCAAUGGGCGGAAGCCUGAACCAGCCAUGCCGCGUGCAGGAUGACGGCCCUACGGGUUGUAAACUGCUUUUCCCCGGGGCGAAUAACCCCCUCGCGAGGGGGGAUGCCGGUACCGGGGGAAUAAGGAUCGGCUAACUCCGUG
rnacentral:rRNA from 1 species